UGCUCCAGAAUAGCUCUUGGAAACGGGUGGUAAUGCUGGAUGCUCCAACUUGACGCAUGUCUUGUUGGGAAAGUGUUUAGUGGCAUGGGAUGGGGUCGCGUCCUAUCAGCUUGUAGGCGGGGUAAUGGCCCACCUAGGCUUCGACGGGUAGCCGGCCUGAGAGGGCGGACGGCCACAUUGGGACUGAGAUACGGCCCAGACUCCUACGGGAGGCAGCAGU
rnacentral:rRNA from 1 species